UACGUAGGUGGCAAGCGUUGUCCGGAUUUACUGGGCGUAAAGCGCGUGUAGGCGGCCUGUUAAGUCUGUCGUGAAAUCUCCCGGCUUAACCGGGAUAGGUCGACGGAUACUGGCAGGCUUGAGGGGAGCAGAGGAAGGUGGAAUUCCCGGUGUAGUGGUGAAAUGCGUAGAGAUCAGGAAGAACACCGGUGGCGAAAGCGCUCUGCUAGGCCGCAACUGACACUCAUGGACGAAAGCUAGGGGAGCGAAUGGG
rnacentral:rRNA from 1 species